rfam:Ictidomys tridecemlineatus contig092403, whole genome shotgun sequence.
AGGGUUGUGGCUCAGUGGUAGAGCGCUUGCCUAAUGUACAUGAGGCACUGGGUUCAAUCCCCAGCACCACAU